AAAAGUUCGUUCAGGUUUCUCCGCAAGAUGGUAUAGAAAAACCUGAACAAACUUUUUUGACA
ensembl:miRNA